rnacentral:rRNA from 1 species
CAAAAACAUAGCCCUAUAACUAACAAUAUAGGGUGAAACCUGCUCAAUGGCUAUAUAUAAAAAAUAAUAGUAGUUAAAUAGCCGCGGUAACUCUGACCGUGAUAAAGUAGCAUAAUCACUCGUCAUUUAAUUGGUGACUGGAAUGAAUGGUUAAACGAAUCCCCAACUGUCUCAAUAAUUAGAUUUAUGAAAUUAAAAUAAUAGUGAAGAUGCUAUUUAUUAAUUGUAAGACGAAAAGACCCUAUCGAGCUUUA